AAUUUGGGCGCGGGCGUGCCUAAAAAAUUUGGGCAGCCCGCGCCCGAGAGAGGGAUUUAGGUGAAAAUCCCUCUCUCAUUUUCCCCUCUCUCCUCAUUUCCCCUUCCCCUAGCUCCCUCUCCUCAUUUCCCCACAACUGCGCAAAACCUAGAACCCAAAAUUCCCAGGGGAAAACAUCAAACGGAAGAGUGAAAGCGGAACGAUGGCCUUAACAUCAGCAUUAUCGACGGCCGCCAUGGCUUCAGCGCGAGUUCAAGCAUCGUGAGACACAAAUCCAAACCCUAAACCCCUAUCGUUUCCCAAAACCUUAAAGAAUUCUCCUCACCCAUCGUCGACUCCCCAAACACCAGAGUCCUCGGCGUUCUCCACGGCCGUCAUCGAGAAGAAGCCGAAGGAGCAGCAUCCUUCUCAGUUCCUCAGCUCCAAUCGCCCCCGCAGUGAAAGAUAAAAAUUGGACGAGCAGUACCUAGGUUAUGAGAGGUGGCUACUGGUUGCACCUAAAGUAAAAAAACCUCGAUCUAUUUACAAUGCAACAUCUCUAGCAUAUGUUGGGGAUUGCAUAUAUGAGUUAUCGGUGAUGUGAGGGGAAGAGGUCUGAUGCUUGGAGUUGAGCUGGUUAAUGACCACGAGAAGAAAACUCCAACAAAAGUUGAAAUCUUGCAUGUUAUGGAGCAGAUGAAAGACAUGGGUGUGUUGGUUGGAAAAGGCGAACAUUUUGGGAAUGUUUUCAGAAUAAGACCACCUCUUUGUUUCACAAAGGCUGAUUCUGAUUUCUUUGUAGAUGCAAUGGGUGUUGCUAUGUCAAAGCUGUGAACCUUUUUAUCGAUGCGGGAUUGAAAUGGAUCUCGUGCAUGUGCAAUAUAUAUUGGGCUUGUAGUUAUUUGUGAUAACAGAGAGAUCUGAGCCAUCAUCUCAUUGUUUCUGUCUCUCUUUAGUUCUAUGGAUAAAUGUGCAUCUAUUUGUUGCUGUUAUAUUAAAAUAUGUGCGUACGUAUAAUACAUAAGAAUAUGCCAUGAUACUCUCUUCGAAACAUAUAAUACAUAAGAAUAUGUCAUGAUACUCUCUUA